ACUAUUUUGGCAGAUAAAUGUAUUAAAUUUAGAAUUUGAGGAUAUAAAAGUAUUUUUAUAAAUAGUA
rnacentral:tRNA from 1 species